rnacentral:rRNA from 1 species
AGCGAACGCUGGCGGCAGGCCUAACACAUGCAAGUCGAACGAACCUUUCGGGGUUAGUGGCGGGCGGGUGAGUAACACGUGGGAACGUGCCUUUAGGUUCGGAAUAACUCAGGGAAACUUGUGCUAAUACCGAAUGUGCCCUUCGGGGGAAAGAUUAAUCGCCUUUAGAGCGGCCCGCGUCUGAUUAGCUAGUUGGUUGAGGUAAUGGCUCACCAAGGCGACGAUCAGUAGCUGGUCUGAGAGGAUGAUCAGCCACAUUGGGACUGAGACACGGCCCAAACUCCUACGGGAGGCAGCAGUGGGGAAUCUCGCGCAAUGGGCGAAAGCCUGACGCAGCCAUGCCGCGUGAAUGAUGAAGGUCUUAGGAUUGUAAAAUUCUUUCACCGGGGACGAUAAUGACGGUACCCGGAGAAGAAGCCCCGGCUAACUUCGUG